UAAUUCUCUUAAACCUGAUUUACAACCAGUGGAAAUCUAUCAGGUUUAAGAUGUAUACACUGAAUUUACAUACAUUUCUAAUCUUCCUUUUAAAAUAACUAUUUCCUUUCCUUGUUGUUUAUUAGCAUGAUUCGUUGUUUUGACUGUCAAUCAGAUCUCUGGCAAAUGACAAUUAAGCGCGCCUUUUCAACGUUUCAAAUCUGUAGGCGUAUUUGCUGCCGCUGGAGGUCUUCAGUAAUACUUUGGUCGGUUCACUAAUGGUUUUUACCUGGAUUGUUUUACAUUUAACGGCUAAAUUAUUAUGUUGUCUACAUUUUAGUUGUUAAAUGUCAAUAGAGAACUUAAAAAAAGAAUUUGGACAAAGACAUUGCAGAAGGUAAUAAAUAGCUUUCACCCUUUAAGUUACCGUUUUCUACUGCUAUCUGUUACAUGCUAAUCGCGAUUAGCACAGGAUAUUAUAUAAGUAUAUAAUUGUAGUAACUAAUUCUAGUUAACUAAUGUGUGUUGUUUUUGUGUAUGUUAUAUGCGUUAGUCAAGCUCACGCUACAGGAUAGUACCUGGUUUGCUAUAGUGCAUUUCUUGUCGUGCUUCGACUUUGUAGCAUCUGCACUAACGUUACACAGACGAAGUCUGCUAAUAACAAGAUUUUUGGUCAAGGUCGGUUCGUAUUUUAUUAUACAGACAUGUUUCUUUUGUGUUGUUAUAUGAGGCUGAUAUUUAAAGCAUUUGACACGCUCUGUAAUGUUAGAAUCAGGUCAAAAGUCCCGUUGUGUGAUCCCGGUUUUACAAUCACCAGCUAGUUUAAUGAUCAAGAACGUAGCAUAAAAAUUAAAGGCGAUUUGGAAUGAGUAAAUUAAUCACUGUCAUGUACACUUGUUAGACCGAGAGGAACUUGAACCUUACUCCUGGACUCUGGGAAAUUUUGCAGUCCAGUUUUUUGGAUCUAUUGUGGAUCGCUGGGACUUGCCGAUAAGUGGAAAUGAGUUGAAAGGAUACCAUACACAAGCCAAUCAAGCAUUGCAGCAUUGUUAACGGAAAGAACAUGCACCAACAGAAGGAGAAAUUCAUUACUAAUGCACCAAGGAUUAAGCUGAUUAUUGGCAGUUUGGAGGAUUGCUCUUUAUAUGUCACUUCUGGUACAGAAUCAUUGACAUUUUGAUAUUUGUAAUAUAUUUAUUUUAUUAUAGUUUUAUGUUUAUUUUUACUAAUAAUACACUUGUUAAGCUGUGGUUCUGAAUUAAAAGACUGUAUGGAGCUCCCAGGUGUCAGGUAGAAUAUUUUGGAAAACUGGUUUGGGAAAUACAAGCUAAAACAGCACAAUUUGUUAUUUUCUUCACCUGUUUCAAAGGUCAAAUCAUUACACAAUAGUAAUACUAAUAGAAUAAAUGCCAUUCUUAUUUCAUCAUUUACUUCUGGGAGCUCUAAAGUACGGUUUAUAAAGAAUCCAAAUUUACAUCUGAAUACGUUAAAACUGUUUUACAAUCAAUAGUGAAAAUCUUGACUAAAUAUUACGAAUUUGACUAAACGUUUUACUGUUAAUAAGUACACAAGUUUAAAUGUUUGUGUUUUAUAACGAAAUCAUUACAUUUUAAAUAAUACAAUUGUUGCAAUUUAAAGUUUGAAAUUAUUUGAAUCAAUUAAACUGUAUUUUUACUUGACUUUUUGUCUACCUGAAUACAUUUUUUAAAUUACAAUCUUGAACAUGUCUUUCAAUUUACAAUUUUUUUAAGGUGUUUGAUCGUAAUAAUCUGGGAAAAAUCUGUAAAAUAGCAGAUUUUCUCUGCAUAAUUUUUAGCGCUGUUGCUUUAUUUAAGGUGUUAGACUGUAAUAAUCUGGGAAAAGUCUGUAAAAUAAUAGGUUUUCUCUGUAGAACUAUUAGCGCUGUAGCUUUAUUAAACGUUUUUGACUGUAAUAAUCUGGGAAAAAUCUGUAAAAUAAUAGAUUUUCUCUG